GGGACGCGCUGGCCACCCCGCAUGCGCAGAGCGAGGAGCCGGCCUCCUGGACUACAGCUCCCAGAGGAGUUUGCUGGCGGCUGCAGGCGUCGAGCCGCCGGCGCCAUCUUGAAAUCUGAUCCUCAAUCUCUGAGUCUUUGCGUCAGCCGCGGGCGGCAGCCGGAGGACCGCGAACUCGGCCCGCUGAAAAGGGAGGACAUUGAGGACACAGCGGCUGGCGGGAGAGACAGCUGGAGGAGACAUGGCAGGUUCUGAGCGCGGCCUGCGCUGCUGUCACUCAGCAUCCUCCUGAGGCAUUUCCUCGCCCGCCGCCUCCCCGAGGGGCGGGGCUGACCACUCUGGUACCCAGAACCCGCGCGCGGGUGUCAGCGGAGCGCCCCUGCAGGGUGGGCACCCCACCAAGCUGUGCCAUGCCAGCCGGAGGCCACCGAGGCGGGAGACGGAACGCAACCAAGCGCCAGUGAGCGAUCACCGAACAGCAGCCGCCUCCGGGAAGCUCGGCAACCGUAGGAGGGAAGAUGAAGGAGAUUUGCAGGAUCUGUGCCCGGGAGCUGUGCGGAAACCAGCGGCGCUGGAUCUUCCACACGGCGUCCAAGCUCAACCUCCAGGUUCUGUUGUCGCACGUCCUGGGCAAGGAUGUCUCCCGCGAUGGCAAAGCUGAGUUUGCUUGCAGCAAGUGCGCGUUCAUGCUCGAUCGGAUCUAUAGAUUCGACACCGUCAUUGCCCGGAUCGAAGCCCUUUCUAUUGAGCGCUUGCAGAAGCUGCUGCUGGAGAAGGACCGCCUCAAGUUCUGCAUUGCUAGCAUGUAUCGGAAGAAUAACGAUGACCCUGGCGCGGAGACCAAGGCGGGGAAUGGAACGGUUGACAUUUCCAGCUUACCCGAUGUCAGAUACUCUGCACUGCUCCAGGAAGACUUUGCCUAUUCAGGGUUCGAGUGUUGGGUAGAAAAUGAAGAUCAGAUUCAGGAGCACAGCUGUCAUGCUUCGGAAGGCCCCGGAAAUCGACCCAGGAGAUGCCGAGGCUGUGCAGCUUUGCGGGUGGCUGAUUCUGACUACGAAGCCAUUUGUAAGGUACCUCGAAAGGUGGCGAAAAGUAUUUCUUGUGGCCCCUCUACCAGAUGGUCCACCAGCAUUUGCACUGAAGAACCAGCGUUGUCCGAGGUUGGGCCACCGGAUUUACCAAAUGCGAAGGUACCGCCAGAUGGAGAAAGCAUGGAGGAAGGGACCCCGGGAUCCUCUGUGGAAUCUUUGGAUGCAAGUGUCCAGGCUAGUCCUCCACAACCAAAGGAUGAGGAACCUGAGAGAAGCGCAAAGGAACUUGUAAAGUGUGACUGCUGUUCAGAUGAACAGGCUCCCCAGCAUACGUGUAACCAUAAGCUGGAGCUAGCUCUUAGCAUGAUUAAAGGUCUUGAUUAUAAGCCCAUCCAGAGCCCCCGAGGGAGCAAGCUUCCUAUUCCAGUGAAAUCCAAUCCAUCUGGAACCAGGCCUGGCCAUAUCAUGACAGAUGGAGUUAGUUCUGGUUUCCUUAACAGGUCUUUGAAACCCCUUUACAAGACACCUGUGAGUUAUCCCUUGGAGAUUUCAGACCUGCAGGAGCUGUGGGAUGAUCUCUGUGAAGAUUAUCUGCCACUUCGGGUCCAGCCCGUGACUGAAGACUUACUCAAACAACAGAAGUUGAAUUCAAAUGAGACUGGUACAACUCAGCAGUCUGUAUCUGAUUCCCAUCUGGCAGAACUCCAGGAAAAAAUCCAGCAAACAGAGACCACCAACAAGAUUCUUCAAGAAAAACUGAAUGAAAUGAGCUGUGAACUGAAGUCUGCUCAGGAGUCAUCUCAGAAGCAAGAUGAUACAAUUCAAAACCUCAAGGAAACUCUGAAAAGCAGGGAAAGUGAGACUGAGGAGUUGUACCAGGUGAUUGAAGGUCAAAACGACACAAUGGCUAAGCUUCGAGAAAUGCUGCACCAGAGUCAGCUUAAACAGCUUCAUAACUCAGAGGGUACUUCCCCAGCUCAGCAACAGGUGGCUCUGCUUGAUCUUCAAAGUGCUUUAUUCUGCAGCCAGCUUGAAAUACAGAAGCUCCAGAGGGCAGUACGACAAAAAGAACGGCAGCUGGCUGAUGCUAGACGAUGUGUGCGGUUUGUAGAGGCUGCAGCACAGGAGAGAGAGCAGCAGAAAGAGGCUUCUUGGAAACAUAACCAAGAAUUGCGAAAAGCCCUACAGCAGCUACAAGGAGAACUUCAGAGUAAGAGCCAACAGCUUCAUACCCUGGAGGCUGAAAAAUAUACUGAGAUUCGCACCCAAGAGCAGCACAUUCAGCACCUCCACCACAGUGUGAGUCACAAAGAGCAGCUGCUUCAGGAAUUUCGGGAGCUCCUGCAGUACCGAAAUAACUCGGACAAAACCCUUGAAGCAAAUGAAAUGUUGCUUGAGAAACUUAGGCAAAGAAUACAAGAUAGAGAUGUUGCCCUAGAGCGGGCUAUAGAUGAAAAGUUCUCCAGCCUAGAAGAAAAGGAAAAAGAACUGCGUCAACUUCAUCUUGCCAUGAGAGAGCGAGAUCACGACUUAGAGAGGCUGCGCGGUAUCCUCUCCUCCAAUGAAGCUACCAUGCAGAGUAUGGAGAGUCUCCUGAGGUCCAAAGGCCUGGAAGUGGAACAGUUGUCUGCCACCUGUCAGAACCUCCAGUGGCUGAAAGAAGAAAUGGAAACCAAAUUUAGCUGUUGGCAGAAGGAGCAAGAAAGCAUCAUUCAGCAGCUACAGACAUCUCUGCAUGACAGAAACAAAGAAGUAGAGGAUCUUACCGCAACAUUGCUCUGCAAACUUGGACCAGGGCAGAGUGAGAUAGCUGAGGAGCUGUGCCAGCGUCUACAGCGGAAAGAACGGAUGCUGCAGGACCUUCUGAGUGAUCGGAACAAGCAAGCGGUGGAAUAUGAAAUGGAGAUUCAGGGCCUGCUUCAGUCCAUGAGCGCAAGAGAGCAGGAGAGCCGAGCUGCUGCAGAAAAGAUGGUACAAGCUCUAAUGGAAAGAAAUUCAGAAUUACAGGCCCUGCGCCAAUAUUUAGGAGGGAAAGAUUUCAUGAUGUCCCAAGCACCCCUGUCUAACCGACCAGCUGAAGUUACCUCCAUCAGCCCCCAUCUUGAAGAGCAAACUGGUCAAGGUUCAGUGCAUAUACCCUCCAGAGAUGAGAGCACUUCAUUGACUGCCAAAAGGGAUGCUACCGUACCCAGGUCCUCGUUAGGAGACUUGGAUACAGUUGCGGGGCUGGAAAAAGAACUGAGUAAUGCCAAAGAGGAACUUGAGCUCAUGGCUAAAAAAGAGAGAGAAAGUCGGAUGGAACUCUCCGCGCUCCAGUCCAUGGUGGCUGUGCAGGAGCAAGAGCUGCAGGUUCAGGCUGCUGACAUGGAGUCCCUGACCAGGACCAUACAGAUUAAGGAAGACCUCAUAAAGGACCUGCAGAUGCAGCUGGUUGAUCCUGAAGACAUCCCGGCUAUGGAACGGCUGACCCAGGAAGUCUUGCUUCUUCGGGAAAAAGUUGCUUCAGUAGAAUCACAAGGACAGGAAACGUCCGGAAACCGAAGACAACAAUUGCUGCUGAUGCUCGAAGGACUGGUAGAUGAGCGGAGUCGGCUUAAUGAGGCCUUACAGGCAGAGAGACAGCUCUACAGCAGUCUGGUGAAGUUCCAUGCCCAUCCAGAGAGCUCUGAGAGAGACCGAACUCUGCAGGUGGAACUAGAAGGGGCCCAGGUGAUCCGCAAUCGGCUAGAAGAAGUUCUCGGAAGAAGCCUGGAGCGCUUAAGCAGGCUGGAGACCCUGGCCGCCAUUGGAGGUACAGCUGCAGGGGACGACACGGAGGAUGCGAGCACGGAGUUCACCGACAGUAUCGAGGAGGAGGCUGCACACAACAGCCACCAGCAACUCAUCAAGGUGGCGUUGGAGAAAAGCCGGGCAGCUGUGGAGACCCAGAAUGUCUCUCUUGCUCCUCCUUCCCUGACAGGAGGGGACAGUAACAGGGGUCUUCAGGAGGAAAUGCUUCACCUGAGGGCUGAAAUUCACCGGCACUUAGAGGAGAAGAGGAAAGCUGAGGGGGAACUGAAGGAGCUAAAGGCUCAAAUCGAGGAAGCAGGAUUCUCCUCUGUGGCCCACAUCAGGAACACCAUGCUGAGCCUUUGCCUUGAGAAUGCAGAGCUGAAAGAGCAGAUGGGAGAAGCAAUGUCUGAUGGAUGGGAGAUUGAGGAAGACAAGGAGAAGGGCGAGGUGAUGGUGGAGACUGUGGUUGCCAAAAGGGGUCUGAAUGAGAAUAGCCUUCAGGCUGAAUUCAGAAAGGUCCAGGGAAAACUGAAGAAUGCCCGUAAUAUCAUCAGCCUCCUCAAGGAACAGCUGGUGCUAAGCAGCAAGGAAGGGACUAGUAAGCUUAAUCCUGAGCUCCUUGUGCACCUGGCCCAGGAGAUCAACAGAAUGAACACAGAGCUGGUUUACUCUCCUGGAAAGCACCAAUGCCUAGAAGAGGAGGGUGUGACCACAAGGCCGUGCCCCAGACCCCAGAGCCUUGACCUUGGGGCUGCCCUCACAGUGGAUGCUCACCAACUGGAUAACCAGCCCCAGACCCAUGACCCUGGGCCACAGUCAGAAUUUCGCCUCUCGGGAUCCACGAAGCACCUGCGCUCCCAGUUGGCACAAUGCAAACAACGCUAUCAGGAUCUCCAGGAGAAGCUGCUGAUAUCAGAAGCCACUGUCUUUGCCCAGGCCAACCAGCUGGAGAAAUACAGAGUCAUGUUUACAGGUGGAUCAUCGGUGAAGCAGGACAGCAAGCAAGUGCAGGUGGACCUCCAGGACCUGGGCUAUGAGACCUGUGGCCGAAGCGAGAACGAGGCUGAGCGGGAGGAGAGCACCAGCCCUGAGUGUGAGGAGCACAACAGCCUCAGGGAAACAGUCUUGAUGGAGGGGCUGUGCUCCAAGCAGGGACACCUGGGCUCCACAAUGGCCAGCCCCCCUGGGAAGAAGCCCCCGGACAGCCAACUAGGGAAGCAGGAGGAGCUCCGGGCAUACGGAAAGUCAGAAGACAUCUCUGUCCUACGUAAGGACAUCAAAGAUCUGAAGGCCCAGCUGCAGAACGCCAACAAGGUCAUUCAGAACCUGAAGAGCCGGGUUCGGUCCCUCUCAGUUACAAGCGAUUAUUCAUCUAGUCUGGAGAGACCCCGAAAGCUGAAGGCCAUUGGUGCCCUAGAGGGAUCUUCACCGCACAGUGUCACUGAUGAGGACGAGGGGUGGCUGUCUGAUGGCACUGGGGCUUUCUACCCUCCAGGGCUUCAGGCUAAAAAGGAUCUGGAGAGUCUGAUCCAGAGGGUGUCCCAGCUAGAAGCCCAGCUCCCAAAAACUGGGACGGAAGGGAAGCUGGCCGAGGAGCUGAGAUCUGCCUCAUGGCCUGGGAAAUAUGAUUCCCUGAUUCAGGACCAGGCCCGAGAACUAUCCUACCUACGUCAGAAAAUACGGGAAGGGAGAGGUAUCUGUUAUCUUCUCACUCAGCACUCGAAAGACACGGUAAAGUCUUUCGAGGACCUCCUAAGGAGCAACGACAUUGACUACUACCUGGGGCAGAGCUUCCGGGAGCACCUCGCCCAGGGCAGCCAGCUGACAGAAAGGCUCACCAGCAAACUCAGCACCAAGGAUCAUAAAAGUGAGAAAGAUCAAGCUGGACUCGAGCCACUGGCUCUGAGGCUUAGCAGGGAGCUGCAGGAGAAGGAGAAAGUGAUUGAAGUCCUGCAGGCCAAGCUGGAUGCCCGCUCCCUCACGCCGUGCAGCAGUCAUGCCCUGUCUGACUCUCAGCGCUCUCCCAGCAGCUCCUCCUUCUUGUCUGACGAGCUGGAAGCCUGCUCUGACAUGGACAUCGCCAGCGAGUACACACACUAUGAAGAGAAGAAAGCUUCACCUGGUCACUCAGAUUCCAUCCAUCAUUCGAGUCAUUCUGCUGUACUGUCUUCCAAACCAUCAGCAACCAGUUCAUCUCAGGGGGUUAAGGCCGAACCCAGCAGCAACCCUAUCAGCUUCCCAGCUCCCCAGAAUCCCCCCAAUGAGGCCAGCCAGGCCCAUCCAGGCCUUCAUUUCCAAUCCAUACCCACGCUGGUUAGCCUUCCCCAGGCACCACUGCCCUCAGCUCCACCCAGCUUCCUGCCUUUCAGCUCUGCUGGCCCUCCCCUCCCUGGCUGCUGUGAGACACCCAUGGUCUCCUUGGCAGAGGCUCAGCAGGAGCUGCAGAUGCUGCGGAAGCAGUUAGGAGAAAGUGUCACCAGUGUUCAUCCUGCUUCCCCGGCCACAUUGCCAACCAACCCUACAGAAGCCAGAUCUUCCCUCUGCCUCAACCCUCCCCAGCCCCUCUGUCCUCUGAGGAGCACCACGGAACUGGGCAAAGUCCUGGAGCCUGGGUACCUGGGCAGCAGUGGCCAGUGGGACAUGAUGAGGCCUCAGAAAGGGAGCAUAUCCGGGGACCUAUCCUCAGGCUCCUCCAUGUACCAGCUUAACUCCAAACCCACAGGGGCUGACCUGCUAGAGGAGCAUCUUGGUGAAAUACGGAAUCUGCGCCAGCGCCUGGAGGAGUCCAUCUGCAUUAAUGACCGCCUGCGGGAGCAGCUGGAACACAGGCUCAGCUCCACUGCCCGCGAAAGCGGCUCAACCUCUAACUUCUAUAGUCAGGGCCUGGAGUCCACACCUCAGCUCUCCAAUGAGAACAGAGUCCUUAGGGAAGAAAACCACAGGCUUCAGGCUCAGCUCAGUCAUGUUUCCAGAGAGCACUCCCAGGAAACAGAAUGCCUGAGGGAGGCCCUGCUGACCUCUCGAUCCCGGCUUCAAGAGCUGGAAAUGGAGCUGGAGCACCAAAAGGUAGACCGGCAGCAGUUACUGGAAGACCUGAAGGAGAAGCAGCAGGAGAUCUUGCAUUUCCAGGAGGAACGACUGUCUCUCCAGGAGAAAGACUCCAGGCUGCAGCAUAAGCUGGCCCUCCUGCAGCAACAGUGCGAACAGAAACAGCAGCUUUUCCAGUCCCUCCAGUCAGAGCUACAGAUCUAUGAGGCACUUUAUGGUGACUCCAAGAAGGGGCUGAAAGCUUAUACCUGGAAUGCCUGUCACCAAGUCCCUUUGAGCAGUGACUUGAGCCACCUGGUGGCAGAGAUCCGAGCUUUGCGAGGGCAGCUGGAGCAGAGCAUUCAGGUGAACAACUGUCUGCGACUGCAGCUCGAACAGCAGUUGGAUGGUGGUGCCAGCAAAGCCAGCCUCAGCUCCUCCGUUAACCAGAAAUUCCCCACCAACACUGACCCUGGAAACAAGCAGCCGUUCUUCCAAGAUUCAGUUGCCUCCCCUCCAGUUCGGGAUGUGGGCAUGAAUUCUCCAGUUCUGGUCUUCCCCAGCUCUUCUUCUGAAGCUCCUGGCCCAGAGACCACAACCUUCAGUAGGACAAACGAGCUGGGUUUGGAUGCUUCUCCAGUAAUGAAGAACCCUCCCAAGCUGGAGGGUGAUGCUACUGAUGGCUCCUUUGCCAAUAAGCAUGGCCGCCACGUCAUUGGCCACAUUGAUGACUAUAGUGCCCUAAGAGAGCAGAUUGGGGAGGGCAGAGUGCUGGUCAAGAAGAUAGCAUCACUUGUGAGACCAACCUGCAGCUUCUCUGGUCUUGAAGCUCCGGGCAUAGAGGUGAUGGGUAGCGAAGGCAUCCAGGAGCUGAGGAGCAGCGCCACUGCCCUGCACCACCGGCUGGAGGAGUCGGCCUCCCUCCUCACCAUGUUCUGGAGAGCAGCCUUGCCAAGCUCCCCUGGCGCUAUGCUUGUGGGCAAAGUGGGAGAGUCUAUGAAAAAGGAGCUUCUGGAACUGAGAACCAAACUAUCCAAACAGGAGAGUCUCCUUCAGAGUACAUCUGAGCGUCUGAAGACCGCCAAUCAGCAGAAGGAGAGCAUGGAGCAGUUCAUCUUCAGCCAGUUGACCAGGACACACGAUGUUUUGAAGAAGGCAAGGACUAAUUUGGAGCCUUUUUAGAAGAACUCUUACAAGACUGCUUCUGUAAAGCCUUAUUCCUGUCCCAGCAAAGGUGAAAUCCCUAAGGGCCCUGCCAUGCACUCCAGUCCUGUGACCCUUGCCUUCCAGGAGACAUGCAAGAAGCGAAGCCACCAGAGGUCCUUAAAACAGCAGGAAGGAUGGGCCUGCGCCCCUUCUUCACAGCUCCCUGUCUGCUGAGGAGGAUCUGAGCCCUCCUCCACACCUACUGGAGGGUCUGGAAGGAGUCAUAGAUAUGGCCUCGUGGGCAGGGUGAAAGGCAGAGGGCCUUUCCUGCACUUGAGGAAUAACAAGGCAGGGUGUCCAUGGCUCAGCACUAAGGAAAACAUGCCUAGUUACUAGACGACCUUGUGACACUGCUUCUGAACAUGCUGAGGGCAUGGGAGCCAGCAACAGACACUUCUUGCUUCAUCACCUGUCCUCAGAGGGUCAGCUCAGGGGAAACAGGACCUGCUUCCCCACAAUUCAGCAUGCGGUCCCAACAUUGGAGCUCCUCGGCAGAUCUGAAAGCACAAGACUGAGCAGCGGUGCCCUGCAGGACAGUUUGGGCAGGGGGGCCUGACUGCCUGACCCAGGGCCCAUGCAACUGGGUCACCGUUAGGCUGGGUGUCAGUCUAAACUGCAGCACCUGAGUACUAUGAAUCCAUGUGGUGGGAAUGGUGAUUCCCAUAUGCCAUCUCAUGCUUAGCCUAGACUUCCUACUUAUAUUCUAUUGUUGUCUCCAAAAGCUGUACUGACUUUACAUAUACUGUCCCCUUUUGUCAUCCCAGCUUCUCUCUGGGAACUAGGGACUAAUGGCCACAGCAAGCCCACUGAAAGUCUUGUGUAAAGCAAACCGGUGAUCAUUUUUAAGUGACAUGCAAGAGGCCCCCAGUUGUGCUUGUACUGAAGCCUAGUCUGUGUCUUCACAAAAGUGCUUUAGAAAGUGUGUAUGUGUGUAUAAAUGUAUGAUAUAUAUUUAUAUAUGUUGCUAUAGUGCUGUGUGGAAGGCUAAUAUAACUGGUGGACAGGGUCAGUGAGAGGAAAUGACACAGUCUUUUUGGUGGCUAUUAAAGCAAACUAUGUAUAAAAAAAAAA